AUCAACCUGUCUGUCCUCACUGAAAAGAAAGAUGGCAGGCACGGUGCUUGGAGUGGGGGCCGGCGUGUUCAUCUUAGCCCUGCUCUGGGUGUUAGUGCUGCUGCUAUGUGUGCUGCUGUCCAGAGCCUCUGGUGUAGCGAGGUUCUCUGUCGUUUUUGUAUUCCUCGGCGCUCUGAUCAUCACAUCGGUUCUGCUGCUCUUCCCUCGAGCCAGUGAAGUCCCAGCCCCAGAGGUCGAAAUGAAGAUUGUGGAUUCCUUUUUCAUUGGCCGCUAUGUCCUGCUGGCUUUCCUCACUGCUGUCUUCCUUGGAGGCCUCUUUUUGGUUCUCAUUCAUCAUAUCCUGGAGCCAAUAUAUGCCAAACCACUGCGGUCCUACUGAGCCCUAUUCAGGAAAGCCAAGACCCUGCUCUGUCCUUUGCUUUUGAUGUCAUUAAUGAGCAGAAAGGUACUGUUCAGAGCCUUGUUUUGACAGCCUUCAUGCCUUAAGAUCAGAGGAAUAUCCAUUCAUGACUGGGACAAAUGCCUUCAACCCUGGCUUCCAGAAAUGGGGUUGCAAAAUUGGCCCUGCAGAGAUGAUGCUCACCAUCUUCCGAGGGAUACUGCUAUCUUCUUACCCUUGUUCCUCAGGUCUUCUAUCUGUUUUGACAGGGAAAUAAAAAUAGUGUUCUGCCUCUGGUAGAUUUUCAAUCAAGACAUCAGUAAGUGGAUUUUGGGAAAAGGAGCACUUUGGCUUCCACUGUCCAGUAGACAGAAGAAUCUCAUGAAUCUCGUCCUUUUGAAAAUACACAGGAUUCUUUGUUACAAGGUUGGGAUGACUCGGAAGGGAAAAGCACUCCAAGUUCAAAAGCUUAUUUUAAUACGAUGAGUUGGAAGACUUACCCAGAUGUUGGCUGUUGACCAGUGUGCACAUGGUGUCACAGAAUCUGUACAAGCAGCGGGUGCCCCUCCUCUCUGCGAUAAUAAAGCGAUAAAAAACCGAAGGACCGACUUCCACUUCACACUCUUGGCCAUGGCUUUCUCAGUCUAUAUUCUAUAUUUCAAAUUUGCUUGGGGAUUAGAAGAAGUGUAUGGAAAUGGUGGUGGUUUGUCUUGCUUCUGUGGAUCUCUGGAUUCUUUCAGGAUUUGCUAGCCUUGGUGUGCCUUAUUUAAUUACUAUAGGGUCCAUUUUGGAUGAUUAUCUUUUCAUCUUUGAAAUCUAAUUUUUUAAAAUUUUACAAUAAUCUAUUUGUUAUCAUCCCAUUUUAAAGUGGAAAAAAUUAAGGCUUAAGGAGAUGAACUGAGUUUCCCAGGCAUCACAUAGCAUCCAGGGUUCAUGCCUAGGUGUGGCAGACUCCAGGGCCCAUCUCGGAAUGAAAAGAAAACACACUAAAUUUUGUGGGACUUUGAGAGCUGGAGGAUUCAGGGCCACGCCUCCUUCACUUUCUCUCCUGGAUCCUCUUGUCAGUGUAGAGAAGAUCCCAUCCUACCACCCAGUGGGGGCUCAGCUCAAAAUUAAAAGAGGAGAGAAUGGGUGACUUUUGGGAGUCAUGGGCUGGUGAGGACCAGGUAUAUCGUAUCUUACUUGGUUUGGAAAACCUUUGCAGAUAAGGCUUUGCCAUAGAGCCGUUCAAAGGAGAUGGUCUCUUCAUCUGGCCCAGGGCACACGGGUAAGAGAAGAAAGAAGAAACAUCCCACCAAGCAGAUUGGAGGGGAGAGAGGAGAAUGCAGAUGUGCGGAGGGAAAUUGGGCAAGCUGGCGGUCAGGCUCUCUCCUCCUCUCUGGACACUUGCACUGAAGCUUCCAGAUAACUCUGAGUCUCUGUGCAGAGAGACAGCUCAAGUGGAGCAGGGACUCCUAACAAGCACAGGCUGCCAUUUGUCACCUCCUGGGAGACAUGCUGACAAAUCAAACCUGGGAAAACUUGUAGAUUUUGACCCUGAAUCCAUCCUUUUUAUUCCCAAAGGUGUCCAACUUUGAGAUCAGUGGAUAAUAGCUAUGAAGUUUUGGGUGACUGCUUACAUGGGGAAAGGUUUUGGUACCCAUCUUUUCCCUAGCUCGUAUCUAAAAAAGGUAAAACUUUCAUUAGAGAAUCUCUAAUUAGCCUCUAUACUACAAUAAUAAAUAUUUUGUCAUAA